ensembl:antisense Gm44097 predicted gene, 44097
AGAACUAGUGUACAAGCUUAACAGAGUCACAGUGUCCAACAUGAACACUAAAAGCUGCUGUUUUUGUUUUACAGGGCUGUGGAGGAAACCUGGGGCCUGACACUGAAAAAGAGCAUGUUUAAAGUGCUGCAACAAUGGAUACCCAGCAGAGAGACACGAAUCACUGAGGUGGCUGCUGGGACAGUAAGCUGGACUGCGACAAGAUCACAUGAAGUUGUAGCACAAACACUGGGAAUACAAAGGUAAAAGACAGCAAACACUGGAGCAAACACCACGAGGCUUAAGUUUCCUAAGCCAAGUGUUUUCCAGAAAGACAAAUGACGUGACUACUGCAGCCCAAGUAUGACUCAACCCUAGAGUGAUUUCCCUGAAGCAUCUGUGAAGGUGGAGGAAUCAGAUACAAACACCAUCCAGGCAAUCUUACCUCAGAGUACACUCCAUCUCCACUUCAGAUUCUGCAGAGAAAACACGGAAAGCGUACUUGUCAAGUAACAGGGAAAAGCUAUCCCCGGGAUGCAACUGGCUCCACACUUGCGUCUCCAUUGGCGAGUGUUGGCUCUUCU